GGCAGCGUGGGGCGUCUUCCCUUGUGGCGAUGCUGCUGCCCACCGUGGGCUGUGCGGGAAGGGGGUGGAGGGAUGGCCAGGAUCCAGAAGACAAGAAGCAAAACAAGCCCAGCGCCAGGCAGAGUAACUGCAGAUCCAAUGGAAAAAAUGCCCAGCCUACCGAGAUGCCAAUUAGUCUGUCUUCCCACGGUGGGCCAGCAUCCCCGCAGGAAGAAAUCCGGGGAGCGGACAGUGAGGUCCUCAGAAAGCCCAGCUGUGAUGAAUAGGACUUCUGCUUCCCCUGGGACCUGGCUGGUUAUUUUGUAGGAAAUUGAAUUUCUUGAACAGGAGCUUUAGGAAGACACACACUGGGGCUGCUUUGGUCACUGUCAUCGUAUCUCCUGCACCCAACAAAUCCACAUGUGGGGAGCUGCUCCACAACUGCCUGCCUGAGAAAUGAAGAAGGGGGCACGUUCAGCCUCCAGGCCCACUUGGCUUUCUCAGCCCAUCCAUGGGACGGCUUCUUCUGGUUUGUCUCAGGCCGGUGCAAACUGCCCAAUAUUCCUAUUUCUAUUUUUAAAAAUAUUACACGUGUUCAUCUCUAUGGAAUACAACGCGAUGCUUGAAUUUAUGCACACAUUGUGUCAUGAUCAAAUCAGGUAAUUAGCAUAUCCAUCACUUCAUACGUUUAUCGUUUCUUUGUGGUUAGAGCAUUCAAAACCUCUCUUCUAGCUGUUUUGGAAUGCACGAUACAUUACUGUGAACUGUGGUCAUCCCACUACGCAAUA